UGCGCAGGCGGGAUUGCAAGUUGGAUGUGAAAUCCCUGAGCUUAACUUAGGAAUUGCAUUCGAUACUGGAAAGCUAGAGUAUGGGAGAGGAUGGUAGAAUUCCAGGUGUAGCGGUGAAAUGCGUAGAGAUCUGGAGGAAUACCGAUGGCGAAGGCAGCCAUCUGGCCUAAUACUGACGCUGAGGUACGAAAGCAUGGGGAGCAAACAGGAUUAGAUACCCCGGUA
rnacentral:rRNA from 1 species